UCGCCAGACUCCUACGGGAGGCAGCAGUGGGGGAUAUUGCACAAUGGGGGGAACCCUGAUGCAGCGACGCCGCGUGGGUGAAGGAGUGCUUCGGCAUGUAAAUCCCCAUCGGCAGGGAAGAAGCAAGACGGUACCUGACUAAGAAGCCCCGGCUAACUACGUGCCAGCAGCCGCGGUAAUACGUAGGGGGCGAGCGUUAUCCGGAUUUAUUGGGUUUAAAGGGUGCGUAGGCGGACUGUUAAGUCAGCGGUAAAAGCCCGGGGCUCACCCCCGGCGAGCCGUUGAAACUGGCUGUCUUGAGAUGUCGAGAGGUAUGCGGAAUGCGCAGUGUAGCGGUGAAAUGCUUAGAUAUUGCGCAGAACUCCGAUUGCGAAGGCAGCAUACCGGCGGCGAUCUGACGCUGAGGCACGAAAGCGUGGGUAUCGAACAGGAUUAGAUACCCUAGUAC
rnacentral:rRNA from 1 species